rnacentral:rRNA from 1 species
ACGAACGCUGGCGGCGUGCUUAACACAUGCAAGUCGAGCGGUAAGGCCUUUCGGGGUACACGAGCGGCGAACGGGUGAGUAACACGUGGGUGAUCUGCCCUGCACUCUGGGAUAAGCCUGGGAAACUGGGUCUAAUACUGGAUAUGACCUGCUCUCGCAUGGGGGUGGGUGGAAAGAUUUAUCGGUGCAGGAUGGGCCCGCGGCCUAUCAGCUUGUUGGUGGAGUAAUGGCCUACCAAGGCGACGACGGGUAGCCGACCUGAGAGGGUGACCGGCCACACUGGGACUGAGACACGGCCCAGACUCCUACGGGAGGCAGCAGUGGGGAAUAUUGCACAAUGGGCGGAAGCCUGAUGCAGCGACGCCGCGUGAGGGAUGAAGGCCUUCGGGUUGUAAACCUCUUUCAGCAGGGACGAAGCGUGAGUGACGGUACCUGCAGAAGAAGCACCGGCUAACUACGU